rnacentral:misc_RNA from 1 species
CUAGAGCAAAGGACAGGCAGCGCCCCACACGAGCUUGCUCGGUGGCGGGCUACCCUACUUCGGUAGGGUUUAGAGUCGUCGAACCUCUCGGAGAAGUUCGGUCCUGACCUCCACCCUUGAAUAAAUUACCUUUGUUGCUUUGGCGGGACGCCUUGUGCCAGCGGCUUCGGCUGUUGAGCGCCCGCCAGAGGACCUACAACUCUUGUUUUUAGUGAUGUCUGAGUACUAUAAAUAGUU